GCCGGAGUGGCGGAAUGGUAUACGCACACGACUCAAAAUCGUGCGGGGCAACCCAUAAGAGUUCGAGUCUCUUCUCCGGCA
rnacentral:tRNA from 1 species